CCUUGACAAAAGAAGAAGACAAAGCAGCGGAGCGGUUCGGCUCGGCCCGCUGCAACCAUGGGCUCAGUCAAGGCUCGACAUACUGCCCAAGAACUACACCGGCGUUGCUGCGUACAACGUUGAGAUGGACGACUUUGACGCGACAUGCACCAUCCAAAAGUUCGCACGACCAAGGGCUAUCAGAGACCGAAUUGAUGCUGCCCUACUACCAUAGUGAAGCCGUCCUGGAGGCCAUUCAUGACACUUUUGUUCGCGCUCCGCAGUGAAUGGGAGGAGCACAAGCAAAAAAUUAUGUGUAGGGUGAAUAGUCGUGGUCUAUGGAGCUAAGGAUUGAGUCAUUUAUCCUGGAACUGUAAGGGCUAUAGUUUGGUGUCAAAAAAAAAAAAAACUGUGGUGGACAAGGUGAGCUCAAGGAUCACUGCUUGUGUGAGAGAUGAGACCAAAAAGCACACACUUGCGUGCUUGGUAUUGUUUGUGUUUUGCUCUUGUGCUCUCUCUGUAUGCAAUAAGGUGUCCUCUUUUUCCUUAUUGCCUCAAUUACAUCGACAUGUCAUA